GCCACCAUCUCAACCGUCCUCGUUGAUAAUUUUGCAAAUACGUACACCCAAUGUCGUAAAAAUAAGUUAGUGUAUAUCUUUCUAAUCAAACAUUUGGAAUCAUGUGCAAUUAAGCAACUAGUGCUAGCAUUGCAAAACUCUGCUUGGACUAAGCAUAUAUAUAUUUACAUCACAGCGAAAUAGUCCUCUUCUGGAGCCACAGAGGAAUGGCGAUCGUCAAUCAACAGACUAGCGCAGCUAUACAGUUGCAUGAAGACGAUGGGAGAAGAGUGUUAAAAACUCAAAUGCCAGUCAGUUAAAUAUGAGACAACACAGCCUACUAUCUCCUCAAGGGAUCCCUUGUAAAGAAUGGGUGCCUUAGAGCCUCACGAGCCGUUAGUCUAUGUGUAGGAUCGUAUCGAAGCAACCCUUGCACAAGAUGAAUCAAUUCCCCAGCUGAAUGGUCCACAUGCUGCAUUAUCAAGUUCGGUAAACGAGCCAGCUUUUGAACGGCCUUGAUACUAUCCCUCGAAGUUGCACCUUCUGGCCAAUCUAAUCUGCCUCUUCUCACAUAUUUUUCUGCAUGCCGAUCUACUCUCUUCAGCAUCUCCUGUGGCAAUGGACCGAGCACUCGCUCCAUCAUUGCCAAGUGCUCCAAGUUUUCAUGAGUUUGAAACAGUGCUUCACCCGAGCA
rnacentral:misc_RNA from 1 species